rnacentral:rRNA from 1 species
CGCCUUUAGCCACACAAGUAUUAAAGGUCCUGCCUGCCCAGUGAGCAAAAUACUUUAACGGCCGCGGUAUCCUAACCGUGCAAAGGUAGCGUAAUCACUUGCCCCUUAAUUAGGGGCCUGUAUGAACGGCUAACCGAAGGUGCACCUGUCUCCUGAAGCCAUACAAUGAAACUGAGCCCCUAGUACAAACGCUAGGAUUCCCCCAUAAGACGAGAAGACCCUGUGGAGCUUACAACUAACAACGCUAAAACUACCGCGCACAAAGUCUUAAGACCCACACAUAACUAGAUAUUUAGCGCCACCUUUGAGUUGGGGCGACUACGGAACAAAACAAAACUUCCACGAAACAGGACUAACCACCCCCUAUAGGCUAACACGCCAACGAGAACCCCACACAUUGACCCAGUAUUACUGAUUAACGAACCAAGUUACCCCAGGGAUAACAGCGCCAUCCCCUUUAAGAGUCCUUAUCGCCAAGGGGGCUUACGACCUCGAUGUUGGAUCAGGACUUCCAGGUGGUGUAGCAGCUACCAAAGGUUCGUUUGUUCAACGAUUAAUGUCCC